CUACGGGGGGCACCAGUGAGGAAUAUUGCACAAUGGGGGGAACCCUGAUUCAGCAACGCCGCGUGGAGGAUGACGCAUUUCAGUGUGUAAACUCCUUUUAUAUGUCAAGAAAACGACGGUAGCAUAUGAAUAAGCACCGGCUAACUCCGUGCCAGCAGCCGUGGUAAUACGGAGGGUGCAAGCGUUACUCGGAAUCACUGGGCGUAAAGGACGCGUAGGCGGGUUGGAAAGUCAGGUGUGAAAUCCUACAGCUUAACUGUAGAACUGCACUUGAAACUUCUAAUCUAGAGUAUGGGAGAGGGAGAUGGAAUUAGUGGUGUAGGGGUAAAAUCCGUAGAUAUCACUAGGAAUACCUAAAGCGAAGGCGAUCUCCUGGAACAUUACUGACGCUAAGGCGUGAAAGCGUAGGGAGCAAACAGGAUUAGAUACCCUCGUAGUC
rnacentral:rRNA from 1 species